rnacentral:rRNA from 1 species
CAACAGGGAUUGCCCAGUAACGGCGAGUGAAGCGGCAACAGCUCAAAUUUGAAAUCUGGCCUUGUGCCCGAGUUGUAAUUUGUAGAGGAUGCUUUUGGCGACGCGCCUUCCGAGUUCCCUGGAACGGGACGCCAUAGAGGGUGAGAGCCCCGUCCGGUCGUGCGCCUAGCCUCUGUAAAGCUCCUUCGACGAGUCGAGUAGUUUGGGAAUGCUGCUCUAAAUGGGAGGUAUACGUCUUCUAAAGCUAAAUACCGGCCAGAGACCGAUAGCGCACAAGUAGAGUGAUCGAAAGAUGAAAAGCACUUUGAAAAGAGGGUUAAAUAGUACGUGAAAUUGCUGAAAGGGAAGCGCUUAUGACCAGACUUGGGCGCGGCGGAUCAUCCGGCGUUCUCGCCGGUGCACUCCACCGCCC